ACAAAUCCAGGAAGAAAAGAGAAGAUGAAGAAAACCAGCCUGCCACAGGGAGUAUAUUCAACAAUGCUCUGAUGCUUAUCUCUGAGAACAAAUCCAGGAAGAAAGAGAAGAUGAAGAAAACCAGCCUACCACAGGGAGUGUAUUCAUCAAUACCCUGAUGCUAAUCUCUGCUUGUUAUACCAAGCCUUUGCUAAAGCAUUGCACAGCCUCCUGGGAUAUGGAGCAUGGCUUCACCACAUAGAGGCUUUGCUCUGCUUCAUUUCAUCCUUCAAUCCAUGGACUUCUUAGCUGUGCCUCCUUCAGGACGAUGGGAGAACAUUUAUGUUGUAAGCCUAGGUGAAUAUUUUCA
rnacentral:lncRNA from 1 species